GUCCAGACUCCUACGGGAGGCAGCAGUGGGGAAUAUUGCACAAUGGGGGAAACCCUGAUGCAGCGACGCCGCGUGAGUGAAGAAGUAUUUCGGUAUGUAAAGCUCUAUCAGCAGGGAAGAAGAUGACGGUACCUGACUAAGAAGCCCCGGCUAACUACGUGCCAGCAGCCGCGGUAAUACGUAGGGGGCAAGCGUUAUCCGGAUUUACUGGGUGUAAAGGGAGCGUAGACGGCGAUGCAAGCCAGAUGUGAAAGCCCGGGGCUCAACCCCGGGACUGCAUUUGGAACUGUGUGGCUGGAGUGUCGGAGAGGCAGGCGGAAUUCCUAGUGUAGCGGUGAAAUGCGUAGAUAUUAGGAGGAACACCAGUGGCGAAGGCGGCCUGCUGGACGAUGACUGACGUUGAGGCUCGAAAGCGUGGGGAGCAAACAGGAUUAGAUACCCCCGUACG
rnacentral:rRNA from 1 species